rnacentral:rRNA from 1 species
CCUACGGGUGGCAGCAGUCGAGAAUCAUUCACAAUGGGGGAAACCCUGAUGGUGCGACGCCGCGUGGGGGAAUGAAGGUCUUCGGAUUGUAAACCCCUGUCAUGUGGGAGCAAAUUAAAAAGAUAGUACCACAAGAGGAAGAGACGGCUAACUCUGUGCCAGCAGCCGCGGGAAUACAGAGGUCUCAAGCGUUGUUCGGAAUCACUGGGCGUAAAGCGUGCGUAGGCUGUUUCGUAAGUCGUGUGUGAAAGGCGCGGGCUCAACCCGCGGACGGCACAUGAUACUGGGAGACUAGAGUAAUGGAGGGGGAAGCGGAAUGCUCGGUGUAGCAGUGAAAUGCGUAGAUAUCGAGAGGAACACUGGUGGCGAAGGCGGGUUCCUGGACAUUAACUGACGCUGAGGCACGAAGGCCAGGGGAGCGAAAGGGAUUAGAUACCCGAGUAGUC